rnacentral:rRNA from 1 species
CCCGGGUCUUGUACACACCGCCCGUCACACCAUGGGAGCGGGUUCUGCCAGAAGUAGUUAGCCUAACCGCAAGGGGGGCGAUUACCACGGCAGGGUUCGUGCCUGGGGUG